rnacentral:lncRNA from 1 species
GCAUGAAGCAAAAUUCAUAACAGCAUAAUAAAAAAAAGCAUAAAAUAGAAUGAAAAUCUGCAUGUAUAAACAAUGUUCAAAUGUAAUAAAUGGAGUCGACUCAGUUAUAAACUCAAUAAUCAACGUCUCGAACUUACUGAUUUUGUUUCUGUGGGUUUUAAAAGGAAACAGACAAAACUAAAUAUUUAUUUUAACUUUUAUCUUUACUUAUUUCGCUCUGCAGUUAGAGUUUAGCAGGAGAUGUCUUUAAACCUUUUGAACUCUGGAAAUUGAAUUUUCUGAAAAUUUGGAAAAACAUGUUUUUUUAAAAAAAAAAAUCGUUAAAUCGCACCGUUACGCGCGCUGUUUACGCGUAUUUGAUUUAAGAUUUAUUUAAAUAUGCCAGUAAAACUACAUUACUUGUCAACUCCUCUUUCAUGUUGUAAAAUUAAACUUAAUUUUGGCCAAAAUACGAAAUACAACACAAGUUUUUUAAAUGAAAAAAAUACUGUUAAGUUGAAGAUGUAUUUUAAGCUUUUCACUAAAGCUAGUCCCUGUUUUUAGAUAAAUGAAAUUUGGCUAAAUUUAUUACAAAAAAAAUCAAUAAUAUAAAAACAUUUACAAUUUUGAAACGUACCUUUACUCCAAAUGAAGGAAGGAAACGUAUAUUUUAUUUUGUGAUUUUUUUUCAAAGAACUUAUUUCGAUUUUAAUUUUUUUUUCAUAAUUACUAAAACGAC